rnacentral:rRNA from 1 species
GACGAACCGUACGAACGUUAUUCGGAAUCACUGGGCUUAAAGGGUGCGUAGGCGGCCUGACAAGUCUGAUGUGAAAUCCCUGGGCUCAACCCAGGGCCUGCAUCGGAAACUGUCGGGCUUGAGUAUGGGAGAGGUGAGUGGAAUUUCCGGUGUAGCGGUGAAAUGCGUAGAUAUCGGAAGGAACACCUGUGGCGAAAGCGGCUCACUGGACCAUUACUGACGCUGAGGCACGAAAGCUAGGGGAGCAAACAGG